rnacentral:misc_RNA from 1 species
GAUGAAGAACGUAGCGAAAUGCGAUAAGUAAUGUGAAUUGCAGAAUUCAGUGAAUCAUCGAAUCUUUGAACGCACAUUGCACCCGCCAGCACUCUGGCGGGCAUGCCUGUUCGAGCGUCAUUUCAACCAUCAAGCCCCCAGGGGCUUGUGCUGGGGCCCUGCGGCUGCCCGCAGGCCCUGAAAACCAGUGGCGGGCUCGCUAGUCACACCGAGCGCAGUAGCACAUCUCGCUCAGGGCGUGCGGCGGGCUCCUGCCGUGAAACCCCCCACUGUAACCCCAAAGGUUGACCUCGGAUCAGGUAGGAAUACCCGCUGAACUUAAGCAUAUCAAUAAGCGGAGGA